CUANCAUGCAAGUCGAGCGAACAGACGAGGAGCUUGCUCCUNUGACGUUAGCGGCGGACGGGUGAGUAACACGUGGGUAACCUACCUAUAAGACUGGGAUAACUUCGGGAAACCGGAGCUAAUACCGGAUAAUAUNUNGAACCGCAUGGUUCAAUAGUGAAAGANGGNUUUGCUNUCACUUAUAGAUGGANCNGCGCCGNAUUAGCUAGUUGGUAAGGUAACGGCUUACCAAGGCAACGAUNCGUAGCCGACCUGAGAGGGUGAUCGGCCACACUGGAACUGAGACACGGUCCAGACUCCUACGGGAGGCAGCAGUAGGGAAUCUUCCGCAAUGGGCGAAAGCCUGACGGAGCAACGCCGCGUGAGUGAUGAAGGUCUUCGGAUCGUAAAACUCUGUUAUUAGGGAAGAACAAANGUGUAAGUAACUGUGCACGUCUUGACGGUACCUAAUCAGAAAGCCACGGCUAACUACGUGCCAGCAGCCGCGGUAAUACGUAGGUGGCAAGCGUUAUCCGGAAUUAUUGGGCGUAAAGCGCGCGUAGGCGGUUUUUUAAGUCUGAUGUGAAAGCCCACGGCUCAACCGUGGAGGGUCAUUGGAAACUGGAAAACUUGAGUGCAGAAGAGGAAAGUGGAAUUCCAU
rnacentral:rRNA from 1 species